UCUUGAAAUAAGGAGGCUGCUGCUCGUAGUUUGGGGGCUUCUGCUGGUGUUCAGGAAGCUGAUGCGGCUGGUAGCUAGAUACUAAAGAUCUAAUAAAAAGACUCCAUACUGAACUGUAACGUUGCAUUAGACCAAAGCAGCGGCUCCUGAAAAGGCAUCAAAAUAGGUUUCUGAAUUUGCUGCUGGCAUUCAGCCUAGCCAAUGACCAAUUUGACUAUUUAAAAGUGAUAUUUUUAUUCUUUUGUCAAAUUUGGACCGUAGAACCAUGUCAUGGCAGGAACACAAUUGAGAACUUUAUACCAUUGAAGGAUUUGAUGGAAUUUUCAAUGAAGCAAAGUUACAGAAUGCAAACUUCUCAACUUCUGAGUUGCUGCUGGGGCUUGUAGCUAGGAUGCUUGUAGCUUGGAUGCUGCGGCUGCGGCUGGGGCUUGUAGCUAGGAGGCUGCUGGGGCUUCUGCUGGGGCUUGUAAAUGGGAUGUUGCUGCUGCUGGGGGGCUUGUAAAUGGGAUGCUGCUGCUGCUGCUGCUGCUGGGGCUUGUAAAUGGGAUGCUGCUGCUGCUGGGGCUUGUAGCUAGGAUGUUGCUGCUGCUGGGGCUUGUAGCUAGGAUGUUGCUGCUGCUGCUGGGGCUUGUAGCUAGGCUGGGGCUUGUCUAGGAUGUUGCUGCUGCUGCUGGGGCUUGUAGCUAGGAUGUUGCUGCUGCUGGGGCUUGUCGCUAGGAUGCUGCUGCUGCUUUGUAGCUAGGAUGCUGCUGCUGCUGCUGGGGCUGUUGCUGGUCGUAGCUAGGCUCCUGUGGCUUGUAGCUAGAAGGCUCCUGGGGCUUGUAGCUAGAAGGCUGCUGCUGCUGCUGCUGGGGCUUGUAGCUAGGAUGUUGCUGCUGCUGCUGCCGCUGCUGGGGCUUGUAGCUAGGAUGUUGCUGCUGCUGCUGCUGCUGGGGCUUGUAGCUAGGAUGCUGCUGCUGCUGCUGCUGCUGCUGCUGCUGCUGCUGGGGCUUGUAGCUAGGAUGUUCCUGCUGCUGGGGCUUGUAGCUAGGAUGAUGUUGCUGCUGCUGCUGCUGGGGC
ensembl:lncRNA